rnacentral:rRNA from 1 species
AUUGAACGCUGGCGGCAGGCCUAACACAUGCAAGUCGAGCGGAGCGGCGGACGGGUAAGUAAUGCCUAUGACUCUGCCUGGUCGUGGGGGAUCACGUCCGGAAACGGGCGCUAAUACCGCAUACUAUCAGAUUAGCCUAGGUCGGAUUAGCUAGUUGUUGGGGUAAAGGCCUACAAAGGCGACGAUCCGUAACUGGUCUGAGAGGAUGAGCAGUCACACUGGAACUGAGACACGGUCCAGACUCCUACGGGAGGCAGCAGUGGGGAAUAUUGGACAAUGGGCGAAAGCCUGAUGCAGCCAUGCCGCGUGUGUGAAGAAGGCCUUCGGAUUGUAAAGUACUUUAAGUUGGGAGGCGUUACCAACAGAAUAAGCACCGGCUAACUUCGUGCCAGCAGCCGCGGUAAUUC